UGGCUCAGUGGUUAAGAGCACUGGCUGCUCUUCCAGAUGACCUGGGUUCAAUUCCCAG
rnacentral:tRNA from 1 species